rnacentral:lncRNA from 1 species
CUCUGUGGCCUCGAGCACCUAUGGGGCACUGGGGGCCCCUUCUGGUUCGGCAAGGGAGCGGGGGUCGUGCGCAGAGCAGAUCGAGGUCAGGCGCGCGCGGGGAGACGGGCAAUCUUUACCCAGCUUCGGGGCUCUCCAGAGAGAUAACACCCCUACUGCUGCCUUGUGUUGUUAUUUGAUCUAGCUCGAGCGUGCGAGCGUAUGGUGGUGCUGUGGGUGUCGAAUGGACCGAACCCCUUCUACGUGCGCAUGGGCCUCCCUUUUAUAGUCUGAAGGGGGUACCCACAGGUGGCAGCGUAGGAAGAGGGGGUAGAAAUGUAAAAGCGCAGGUUGGUACAACAGUGCACAACAGUGCCCCUACCUAACUCUGACGGCAGGGGACAAGGGCAUUAAAUGCCCGUCCGGUCGCCCCAACAGUGCAGGAGGAGUGACCGUUAAGUGAGCCACCGGUUGCCACGAUGGCGCCUCUGUCAGCUCCGUUUGCCACCUCGCUCCGCAUGGCUGUGUAGCGCCUCGCCACGUGCCCUUGGGAUGGCCCUGCGAUGACACGUCGCUGGGUGCGCUGGAGUCUGGGUGGCAGCCUUGCCGCGGCAAGUGCCUUGCCGCGGCCCUGUUCUUGCUGUGCCGGCAAGCUUGCCGGCUGCCGGGCCUUGCCGGGGCGCGCGGGGCGCCGCGGCAAGUCUUCUGAUGGUGCCCUGGUUGGCCUUCCCGGCAAGCUCCUCUUGCCGGGGCCUUCGUGUUCUUGGCUAGUACAUUGUUCUUGAUUGGCAGUAAUAAGGAGUGGUGGAGAGCCUUGCCGAGCGUCCGGCAAGCCUCGCCGCGGGGUGCUGCGACUGCCCGUGCACAAGUUCGGGGUACUAAGGUACCCCCCUACUUUAGUACACCGACAGGAGCCCCCGGGCCUGGGCCAUACAUGGUGCCGAGCGUUGUUGGGCCAGGCCCAAAACAAUGCAUGGGCACGCGUGGCCUGGGUUCGCACGGCAACGGGCUCCGCGCCCACCGCGCUCCCCCGCAACAGCACGCGUCGAUUGCGGCGUCGUGGGAGACAUGGGUGGCGUUUGCGAUCUUCAAGGCAUCCUCCCUCGUGAUCAUGGCGCAGGGCGAGGUCGCUUCACCCGUCGCCCCGGCUCCUGCUUUUUCGCCACGCGGCUCACAUGCGCGGGGGAUCAUGGGCGGCGAAGGUGGGAGACCGAGCCGUCACGGGCGGAGAUGGCGAGUCGGCCCCGCUCCUCUGCCCUCCUCGCUCCCUGAUUGGCUGACCGGGGCGGCUGAGCCCCCACCUCGUCCUUUAAAAGGGGUGGAAGGGGAGCACAAUAGUCUCGCACUUCCUCUUCUCCCUUUGUCUUCAAUUUCCGCUACUCUUCUCCCCAUCUGCCAUGGAGGGAGGGAAUCCUGGUCCUUCAACGGUGGCAGCGAGGGUCGCCUCCAGGCAGCGCACCUCUCCCUAUCCCGCACCUGUGGUGGCCGAGCCAGCCACGAGGGGCAGAGGGAGAGGGCGAGGCCGCGGACGAGGUCGAGGACGCGGUCGAGGCGGCCGGGGCGAUGCGCCUCCCCCGUCUCCGCCAGCGGCUCCUUUCCUCGAGGCAGUCCACUCCGGAGACGAUCCCUGGGAGUUCUUCAUCAAGCUGCGCCGAGCACCUCGUCGCCGUCUCCGGCUGCCGGCCCCGUUCGCGAGCGCAAUGGAGCCGGAUCCGCCCGAGAUGUUGGAGUUGCGCAUGAGGGGCUGCGGGAUCAGCGGCACUCGAGUGAGUGUCGUAUCCCCAGCCCCCGGCGUGAUGUACUUCGACCGAGGGUGGAAGACGUUCGCCCGCAUCCACAGCUUGACGGCGGGGUUUACCCUCCAUUUUAAGUUAAUGGAGGGCGACCUUCUCGCCGUCAAGGUCUUCGGGGACUCCGGCACCCGGGCGAGAUGCUGUGUGGACAGCUCCUCCGAUAGCGAAGGUCCCUCCUCGAGCGAGAGUGACGAGGAGGGGAGCGACAGCGACGACGACGAGGAUGGCGGGUCCGACUAGGCGUCGGACGCUGCCUCGCGCGCCACCGGAGACCCCAUCAUCCGGGUCGCCGGCCUUCUGAACUCCCCGGGGCCGUCUCCUUGGGCGGCUGGCGUAGGGAGGCUGCGGAAGAGGAAGAGGGGUGGCGGCAAGGCCGUCAAAUCGGAGUACGAGGGCGAGGAGCCCUCGACAGCGUGCUGACGUCCCGCCGCCCCGUCUUCGAGCUCUGCCUCCGGCGCCUCCGUCUCCGCCAAGCCCCUGACCGGCCUCCGGGAAGUUCUCUUGGUGUCUUCUGGCGCUCGUAGCUCUCCUAGGCGCCCCUUUCGCCCUCCCCGGCAAGCUUCUCUUGCCGGGGACUCCUUGACCUACCUCCUGAACAGAGAAACAGGAGGGGGAUUACGGGCACCUUAUCUUUUAAUUUGUAAGCCUUCGGGCCUUAGCUGCAUUUAAAAUCUGUAAUCCUCUCUAUCAUGUUUUUCAUCCUCUUAUGGACUUGUACUAAACUGGGAUAUUUUUAAUGAAAAAGAGGGGAAUGCUUGCCGGACUAAGUCCUUUACUUGAUUUUGUGCUUUGUACAUUCCCACCCUACGCUUCUAGGGGACUUGCCGGAGCGAACACACUUGCUGAGUGCGGGACGUCAGCAGCCCGCUGGCGGUGUUGCUUCCGGCAAGAAACCUUGUCGGGCCAGUUGCAGCGCGCUUGUGUCAUUGAGCGGACUCGGAAACAAACCAAGGGCGCAACUUGGCCGCGACUCGGCUCCUCCGCGCACAGGUUUCUUUUUACAAAGCACACUCGUUCAAGGACGCGGCCCCGCCUUCCCCGGUCCACAAGAGGAUGCAUGACGAGGGAUGAGAAACUUAUCUGACUCCGUAGCUCCCCGGCGACCUUGGUUUGCCGGGGGAGGAACCUUGGCCUUCGCAGCCCCCAGCAACUCUGGCUCCGGCAAGACCCAGGUGCUGGUAUGCCUUCUUUGGCUCUUGUCGCCGAUGCCGCGGCCUCCGGGGGCCCUUGCCCAUCGCAAAGGAGCUUUGGCACUCGCAGCCCCCAGCGAAGCUGGCUUGUCGGGGCCUGUGUGCCAGCGCGCCCUUCUGGCUUCUCCUUGUCACUGUAAUCAUAGCCACGAAAACAACUGAGAUAGCGCUGUAAUAAGCUAUUCUUUCAUGGUGUGACUCUACCACGCGAUGCCAUGCUUUGCCCUUCGUAUGUUCACACUCUACGCUUCUAGGGAACUUGCCGGGGCUAACACACUUGCUGAGUGCGGAACAUCAGCAGCCCGCUGGCGGUGUUGUUUCCGGCAAGAAACUUUCUCGGGCCAGUUGCAGCGCACUUGAAUUGUCGAGCAGACUCGGAAACAAAUCAAGGAUGCAACUCAGCCGCGAGUUAGUUCCUCCGCGCACAAGUUUCUCAUACGAAGGCUGCCCCAUGUGUCGGGGGUUGGGUGCGACAUAUGCCAACGGGUGGCUUAUCAUGGUGGGGGCGAGUAGAACGUCGCUGGUGCCUGGAAACGGGAUGAGGCGAAGACAUGCACGUCGGCGAAUCUUACCCAGCUUCGGGGCUCUCCGAGGAGAUAACACCCCUACUGCUGCUCUGCGGGGUCUCCGCAUGAUCACUAUGGUGCGAUAGUACAAUGGUGCUCCUCGAGCUGUGUGGAGGCAGGAAGGAGCAAGGCUAGCUCUUUCCCUUCUUCUAUAUGUCUAAACCUAUCCAGGGCCGAACCCUUUGCAUGGGUGCCCCGGGGGGUUUAUAUAGGCCUACCCCCCGGGGGUACAAUGGUAAUCCGUCUGGGCGUGGCCCCCAGUCGUCAGUCUCUCUUGCAGCCGUCCUCCCUGCCGGCUUCUGGGGCCCGCCGACUGGCGGGCCCCGCGGAUAGGCAGAACGCUGUGCAGCGCUCUUGAUGACGCAGGCCCGGUCAUGGGGUCGUGGGAACAGUGCCACCGUCUGUCAGGCGAUCACUGUCGCCACUCCCCGUCCAAUCUGGUUUAUGGCUUGUGGGGCCAUGGCCGGGAGGCGGCCGACUCUGGGGAAGCCGACUCCCGUAGGGCCGUCUUCGGACUCUCCGGCCGUCUUCCUCUAUCUCACUGACGGGGGGCCUGGCGAUCUCUGGGCCGUACGCGCCGCCGUCGUGGGCACAGUGCCUUGUGCACUGUGGCUGAGGUCAAGGGAGGCAUGGCGACAGUGCCGCGCCUCACCGGAGAUCUCCUGGUGAUGCGGCUCACUGUACCCAUGUCUUCUUCCCGUGGGUCCAAGGGGACAGCCACGAUGGGGCUGUACCCCGCAUCAGUCUUCGUGAAAGGUCGCGGGCCGACUCUCACAGUCGGCCCCUUGAGAGGUCGCAAGCCAGGAGUCGGCUUGUUUCAGAGUCGCCAUCUGAGGACUCUGCUUCUUCGAAGGUCGCCAGCUGGGACUCGGCCUUCUCGAAGGUCGCCCACCGGGACUCGGCCUUCUCAAAGGUCGCCAGCUGGGACUCGGCUGAGGGGCGCGGCCUGCCCCGAUGUCUUGAAAGAUCUUGGGUCCUGGGUCAGCCUACCGAUGGCCCAUUACUCCGACAGUAGUCCCCGAAGCUGGCGAAGCCCGGCGGGCGCCGCCUCGUGGGGCUUCGGCAGUUUCAGUCUCUGCGGUGCCGACUCUGAGAUUCGGCUGCCGCAUCUUCGGGCCGCCUCGUUGGAGUCGGCCUGGCCCCGUGAGGGGCCGCCGCUCGCAAGUCGUGGCGGGAAACCAGCGGCGUAUCGGCUACGCUUCCCUGCCAUCCAUGAGACGGUCCUAUCACGCGACGCCACGUGGAGGCGAUAGCCUGCCUGCCCACGCGCGUGACGGGACGGGCCGCCAGGUGGGGCCCGCCAUUACCGCGCCUCGGCUCCCGAGCGGAUCCGCUGUGGCCGAGGGCGGUUGGCAUCCCCACGUGGUUACUGCGGGCAGUAACUGCGUGGGGGGUUAAUCGUGGGGCGUCGUGGGGUCGUGGGCGCAGUUAAUCCCCACGUCGCCCCCUCGGCUUCUCAGCCCGCUGGGCUAUAAAUAGGCAGAGGGGGAGCGGCGGCAUAGCACGCGCAUUCCCUCCCCCGCCCUCUUGCCUUUCUUCUUCCUUCGCCCCGCUCCGUCGCUUUCUUCCUCGCCGACGAUGAGCUCUUCCUCCGCCGCGCCCCCCGUCUCGCGCUCCGGCGAAUGGGAUGGCUCAGACGUGGAUGCGGAGGACAUCGAGUUCCUUCGCCGAACCCGCCGCCUCCCGAGCGCGGAUUUGGUGCAGGCCCGCCCUGCACCGGCGGGAGAGAUCCGGCCCGCGCCGGUGGCGGGCGAGCGGGUCAUCUUCCGCUCGCAUCUUAUGCGCGGGAUGGGGCUCCCGGCGAGCGGGUUCCUCCGCUCGUUCCUCGAGUUGUAUAACUUGCAGCUGCACCACCUCACCCCCAAUGCGGUGGUGCUUCUCUCCGCCUUCGCCACACUGUGCGAGGGCUACAUCGGCGUUCUCCCCACCCUCGAGCUGUGGGGGGAGUUCUUCUCUUCGAAGCUCGGCACUCAGGCUGCCGGCACGCCGGCGCAGUGCGGUACCUACAUCGCGUCGCGGCGCACGACGGCCGACAACCCCUUUCCGCCCAUCCCGCUGGUGAAGUCGGUGAAGAUGUGGCAGAAGACGUACUUCUACGUGAAGAACGUCGCCACCGACGGCGACUGGGUCAACUUGCCGCCCUUCAACUCCGAGCCGCUGACUGGCCGGCCGCCUAGCUGGUCCCAUCGGUCGAAGUCGCUUUCGCCCUCCGGAGUCGGCGCCGUGGCGCGCCUCCGAGUCAUGACGCAGUCGGAGGGGCUCAUCGCCUCCGAUCUCCUGGACGCCUUCGUGGCGCGCCGGGUUCUUCCGCUCCAAGGCCGGCCCCACCUCAUCUGUCAGAUGAGCGGCCGACACGAUCCAAGCCGGCUGUGCACCAAGGACAUGCCGCGUGGAGAAGUGGCGAACAUGGUGAACCUCAUCGCCCACUGCAAGUUCACCGACGAGUGGCAGUUCGGCAAGGAGCCGUACUCGCGUGACAACCCUCCGCCAGUGGUAAGUUGUUUCCGUCUGUACUUCGAUCUUGCUUGUAUCUGCCUUCAAACUCUGAUCUUGUUGGCACCUUUGAGCAGAAUCCUCUCACGGCGCCCGCUGCCGGCGCCCUGAGAGAGCCGCGUGAGUACGUCCCCGACCGCGAGGUCAGCGACAUCGACGACCCCGACUUGGGGGCCGCGGCGCUGGAGGCCGACGCCGAAGGCGGCGGAGAGGAAGAAGACGGCGGCCUCAGACCGUCGGCGACCUUCGCCGACUGGCCCGAGGGCGACAUCGACGCGGAAGUCAUCCCGCGCCGCCAGCCAAGAGCCGGCCCCUCCAACCAGGCCGGCGCAAAGAGGCGUCACGCCGGGCCGAGUGCGCCCGGCGGCAGGUCGAAGAAGCCCAGGGGAACCGCCGCCGCGACCAAGCGGGAAGAGGCGGCCGCGAAAGCCAACCGCUUCCGGAAGGAAGUGAAAAGGCCGCCACUUGUUUCUUCGUAAGUCCCUUACCCUUUGUCCCUUUUCUGACUUUGCUUGAAUCUUCCUGACUUUCCCCCCCUUUCUUCUCCAGCGCCCCCCUCUCCCUUGAGAGAGCCGCCAUGCCCUCUGUCAUGGGGUCGGGGGCAACGUCCGCCAAUACGCGGCGGGUCGAUCCCGCCGCCGACCUCCGGGAGGCGACGGAACGGAACGCGCGGGAGAAGCGUGCGGAGGAGGAGGCCGACCGCCUGGAGAAGGCGGCCGCCAACGCCCAGCGGCAUCUGGAUGAGGCCGUGGCCGCGGCCGCGGCCGCGGCAAAGCGGGAUGCUGAGGAGGCCGUUCGUCGCCGAGCGGCGAUGCUCGUUCCUCCGCUGUCGUCAGCGCCGCCGCCCCCCGAGUUCACGGGGCAGACCGGGGAGGUCGGCACCGCAAACCCUCUCGCGAAGGAUGGUGACGACGCCUCGGGCUCGGACACCCACGCGCCGCCUCCGCUACCUCCGCCGCCUCCGUCUUCGAGGCCGCACGGUAAGCAGCCGGUGGACCCGCAGGAUCCGCCGACUGCGGACGACGCCGAUGCGCAGCUGCUUCUCCAGGUCGCCGUGCCGACACGCCGCCGGGUCGAGAGGACGAGCUCCGCGUCGCGAGCUCGGGAGACUGACGUCGCCGGCAUGGCGAACCUGGUUGCUGAAGCCUCCAGUGCCGUGCCCACCGGCUGGGUGCGCAAAGGCGGCACCGGCCCGCUGAACUAGGCGCUUCUGGACGUUCAGUCCAAGUUGCGCAAAGAAGGCGACGCCCUCCAGCUCUACACCAAGACGCAUCUGGCCCUGCGGGCCUCCGUCCGGGUAUGCUUUGUUUUUUCCUUUUUUUGGUCUCUUGUCUUUUUCUGUGGGGGCGCGCCAGCGCACCCACUGGGUGUAGUCCCCGAGUUCGGAGUCGGCUGCUGAGCAGGCGGCUCAGAACUCCUUCUAGCGGGCUCCGAAGGCUGACUUUGCUUUGCCGGCCUUGCAGGAGUACCACAAUCUCCGCGCUACUGCCUUCAACCGCAACGUUGAGGAGAUGAGGAAGCGGACCGCCGAUCUGGCGGAAAGUCGAGGUGAGCGGAUUCUUCCUUCUUCGUGGGGGCGUGCUGGCGCACCCGCGGGCUGUAGUCCCCGAGAUUCGGGCCGACUGCUGAGCGGUCGGGCUGGAUCUCUCCGGCGACCUUCUUUCUUUCUUCUCCGCGAGGGCGUGCUGGCGCGCCCGCAGGCUGUAGUCCCCGAGAUUCGGGCCGACUGCUGAGCAGUCGGGCCGGAUCUCCCCGGCGACCUUCUUUCUUUCUUCUCCGCGGGGGCGCGCUGGCGCGCCCGCGGGCUGUAGUCCCCGAGAUUCGGGCCGACUGCUGAGCAGUCGGGCCGGAUCUCCCCGGCAACCUUCCUUAUUGACGAUGCUUUGUCUUUCUUUGAGCUUCAGACGCCAAUGCCGCCCUUCAAGGGCAGCUGGAUGAGGCCAAUGCCGCCCGUCGCACUAAGGAGGAGGAGUGCGACAAGCUCGUUCGAGAGCGCGACCUUCUGGCGACGCGGCUGGCCGAGCAGAAGGACCUGCUUCGGAAAGCACAGGAGGACGCCAAGUCGCGGGAAGAGGCCCUCCUAGCCGAGUUCGCGAUGGAGCGGGCCGCCUGGACCGACCGUGAGGCGAUGCUGACCUCCGGCUAUCACGAGCUCGAGGACAUCGUCGAUGGUAACUCCUGGCUUCUUUUCUUUGGUCUUUCGACUCUGUGUCGAACUGUCUUCUGGUUUUUCUGACUGUCUCCUUUUCUUGUCUUUGGCAGACUUCUUCCCCGGCCACUCGCAGGCCGUCCCUCUGGCCAUCGAGGCGGAUCGGGAGGAGCGGAGGGCGCAGGGCGAAGUGAUCGCAGCCAACGCCCCCCGAACCAUUGACGAGCAGCUCUUGAGCAUCGGGGCUCGCCUUCGCCCUGCUCACCGUUUGAUGCGUCGCCUUCAACGCGCCGGCGCCCAAGUCGUUACCGCCCUGUGGCCGGAGGUGCCGGCUCUUCGCAUCGCCAGUCGGACGGCCGACUGGCUGGAGGUCGCCGUCGGUCGCUUCGAAGCUUGGAGGGGCUCCUCGGCCCGCGUCGGAGCACGCCGGGCCCUGGAGUUCGUCAAGGGGUGGUACCCUAGGCUGGAUUUGCCCGCCUGGCCGCGUUCCGGUCAGAGGCCCAGGCCGAGUUGGGGGCCGUGGAAGGCGCCCUUGUCGAGCGCGCGGCGGCCAUCGCCGAGUACACGGACACCAGUGUCUUUGUGCCCGAGCGGACCGCCGACGGCGAGGAGGUUCCGCCCGAGUGGUUCGGGAUGCACCCAGGGUAUGAGGAGGACUCGGCGGAGGUAAUCGGCUCCAGCACCGAGGGGGAGGGCGAGUCGGAGGACGGAGGCGAGGAAGAGGCGCCAGAACACGAAGCAGGCGGCCAACCUCAGCCUGAUCGCGCCCCCAGCAACGAGCCUCGAAAGGACCAGGCGACCGUCGCUGAAGGCGACCAAGCCGAGACCGCCCAGCCGACUGUCCUGACGUCGGACGCCGCCGCCGCCUCCGGCCCUCCGGCUCCGGAGGCCGCCCCCUAGAGUGCAUCAGCUUUACCUGUCUCUUUUGUUCUUUUUUUUUAAAAAAAAUUGUCAGUUGCGAACAAUUCCACCCGCGGGGUGUAUUCGGCCAAGGGCCUUAUGUAAAUAUUUAUCAAAUUUCCGCCUUUCCUUGCUUUGGCUCUUUAGACUUUUUUCCUUUGCCGCCUUCCUUCGGUUGCCGCCUUGCCGACUGGGCAGCCGCUCUGCGGACUGCCGCUGGGUCAAGCGCUCAGCUACUUUAGGAGGCAAGUACUUAGUCGUUUAGAACGCCGUAGCAAGUUUGGCUGGAGAUCGACAGGCCGACUCUCGAAAGUCGGUCGUCCUUGAUAAAGGUUGAAACUAUGAGCCGACUGCUCGUGAGUCGGCUCAGCAGGGGGAAACUGGGAGCCGGCUUGGGCUAUGCGUAGCUCUUAAGUCCUUAGCCGUUUUUCAUGUGUGCGCUCGCUCUUUCUAUCUCCCCGUUUACCGACAGUCGCUCUGCGAGCUGCGGCUUUCCGUAGGAGACGGCUUUGAGCGCAACACAUUACUUGUCUGACCUCAAAGAGCAUUUCAUAGCACAAGGCGGCGAGUCCCCGGGCCGACUAGUCGGACCCGGUGCCAGAUAGUAUGAUAAAAAAGGAGGAAGCAUUUCGGAAGCCAGAUCCAUAUCAUACAGAUAAUCAAAAAGGCAGUCCCCGAGCUUGUCUCGGGGGGCCUAAGGUCUUAGUACUUAAUACAAAAAAAGGGGGGUAGCGUGAUACAUACUGCAUCAACUGUAAAAUCUUCGAAGAAGAUUUGCGUUCCACGGGCGCUCUGUUUCUUUGCCAGAGUCGUCUCUCUUGCAUGCUCGAGGCUUCUGAGCGUCGAUCAAGUAGUAGGCGUCGUUCCCUAGCACCUUGCUGAUGAUGAAGGGACCCUCCCAAGGCGCCGACAACUUGUGCUGGCCGGCUGUUCUCUGAAUCAACCGGAGCACAAGGUCGCCCUCUUGGAAUGUUUGCGUAAUUGGCGUCCCAGUCGCCGGAUGACUGCUGAACCACCAAGUCGGAGUCGCCAUAGCAUAGGAUCCGGCGAAUGCCAAGUUCCUUGGCAAGCCGGAGCCCGUGGAUGAGCGCUUCAUAUUCGGCGACGUUGUUGGAGGCGGCGAAGUGGAUUUGCAGCACGUAUUUGAGCUUGUCGCCCUUAGGGGAGGUGAGGACGACGCCGGCUCUGAGGCCGGAGCGCAUCUUGGAGCCGUCGAAAUGCAGUCGCCAAUGAGUAGAGUCGGGCGCAGGCGGCAAGUAUUGAGUCUCGGCCCAGUCGACGAGGAAGUCGGCUAGCGCCUGCGACUUGAUGGCGGUGCGAGGUUGGUAGUAGAUGGUGUAGGGAGCCAGAUCGAUAGCCCACUUGGCCACUCGGCCAGAAGCAUCUCGACUUCCGAUGAUCUCGGCGAGUGGGGCGGUGCAGACCACGGUGAUUGGAUGCUCUUGAAAGUAAGGCUUCAGCUUCUUGGCGGCAAAAUGCACGCCGUAGCACAUCUUCUGGUAGUGAGGGUAGUUCUGCUUGGAGGUCGACAGUACCUCGCUCAGGUAAUAUACUGGUCUCUGGACCGGGAGCGCCUUGCCUUCCUCCUUGCGGUCGACUACAAUAACUGUGCUGACUACCCGGCUGGUGGCGGCGAUGUAUAAGAGCAUGGGCUCUUUGGGAGUCGGAGCCGCCAACACAGGGGGAGUCGCCAGCAUCUUCUUCAGUUGGAGAAAUGCCUCAUCUGCCUUGUGGUUCCACUCGAAAAAAGUGGUCUUCUUCAUCAGUUGAUACAAUGGCAGAGCUUUCUCGCCCAGCCGACUGAUGAAUCGGCUUAUUGAAGCCAAGCAGCCGGUGAACUUUUGCACAUCCAACAGUCGGCUGGGUACCUCCAAACUCUCUAUGGCCUUGAUCUUCACAGGGUUGCACUCUAUUCCGCGUUCGGAGACCAGAAAACCAAGGAGCUGGCCGGCUGGGACUCCGAACACGCAUUUCUCUGGGUUGAGCUUGAUCUGGAAUCGGCGCAGAUUCUCAAAGGUCUCUUUAAGAUCCUCUAGCAGCGUCCCACGCUUCUCCUUCUUUACCACCACAUCAUCCACAUAAACAUGGGCAUUCCUGCCGAGUUGCUUGAGGACGCAUUUCUGCAUGCAACGCUGAAAGGUGGCGCCGGCAUUCCUCAAGCCGAACGUCAUCGUCAGGUAGUAGAAGGCUCCAAACGGCGUGAUGAAUGCGGUCUUUAGUCUGUCCGCUGGAUUCAGCUUGAUCUGGUGAUAUCCUGAGUAUGCAUCCAAGAAGCUCAACAGCUCGCAUCCGGCUGUGGAGUCUAUCACUUGAUCGAUCCUUGGCAGAGCAAACGGAUCCUUCGGGCAGGCUUUGUUGAGGCUGGUGUAGUCGAUGCACAUCCGCCAUUGCUUGUUCUUCUUCAGCACUAGUACGGGGUUGGCCAACCAUUCCGGAAAAAACACCUCCAUGAUGAAGCCGGCUGCCAGGAGCCGGGCUAUCUCUUCUCCCACUACUCUUCUUUUCUCUUCUGAUAGGCGGCGCAAAGGCUGCCUGACGGGCUUCACAUCCGGCCUGACAUGUAGCUUGUGCUCGGCGAAUUCCGUCGGUACACCUGGCAUGUCCUUGGGGGACCAUGCGAAGAUGUCCCGAUUCUCACGGAGGAAAUCGACGAGCUCGCCUUCCUAUUUGCUGUCGAGGCCAAUGCCCAUGACAGCGUACCUCUCUGGGUGCUCCGGGUCCAAGGGUAUCUUCUUGGUUUCUUUAGCCGGCUUGAAUGAUCCUUCUGCCUCCGACUCCUUGGGGUCGGGCGACAUCUCCGGCUGCUUCCCAGCCAUCGCCACGACGCGAUCAAGGAGCCGCUUCUCGGCUGCGAUCACCAAAGACUCGGCCAGCCGACUGCUCUCAGCCGCACAGGCGGACGACUUCUUGUAGUCGCCGGCAACGGUCAGGAUCCCCUUGGAGGUCGGCAUCUUCAUCUUGAGGUAGGCGUAGUGGGGAACCGCCAUGAAUUUGGCCAAGGCAGGCCGACCUAGCAGCGCGUCGUACGGGCUCUCCAAAUCCACCACCUCGAACCAGAUCGGCUCUCGGCGGAAGUGAUCUUUGUCUCCGAAGAGGACGUCUAUCAGGAUCUUGCCAAUCGGCGAACAGGAGAGGCCAGGUACGAUUCCAUUGAACACGGUGCGGCUGCUCUACAGCUGCCUCCGCCUGAUUCCGAGCUUCUCCAUGGUGUCCUUGUACAUGAUGUUUAUGCUGCUGCCUCCGUCUAUCAGGACCCGCGAGAAACGGGCGGCCCGCCUAUCAGUGGCCAAGGUUGCACCAAGAACCAAGGCGUAAGAGCCCGGGCUCGGCAUCACCUCUGGGUGAUCUGCCCGACUCCAGCUGAUAGGCUUCUCGGACCAAUGCAUGAACUCAGGAGCUUCUGCUGCUACUGCGUUGACUUCUUGCUGCUGCUGGCGCCUGCUGCGCCGAUCAUCUGCCAGACUGGUGAACACUAUGUAUGCUCCGUGCUCUUCUGGGAACUCGUCUUGGACCGCGCCGACUGGCCGAGCCACCGGCUGCGGAGGCGGCGGAGGCCCUACAGGCGGCGGAGGGGCGAGGCCGUCUCCCUUGGUGAUCUGGACGAGCCAGUGGCACUUUCUGGUGGUAUGGUUUGAUGGUUUCGCGCCGCUGUGAAACUUGCAAGGACCAUCCAGAGUCUGCUCAUAAGAGAAAGCCGGCAACCAAUUGGACUUGCCGCCCUUCUGCCGCUUGGCCGGAGGCUGCCCCUCUAGUUGCUGAUCUUCUACUGCUGCGACCUGCCGACUGUUGGAAGUCGGCUGGGGGGCUUUGCGCUUGUUGUCGUUCUGUUGCUGCCGUCGGCUGGCGUCUCCAGCCGGCGUUCUGGGAGCCUGGGGAGUCACCUUGCCAGCUGCGUUGACUUGGAUCUCCGUCUUCAUAGAGGAGUCGGCCGUGGCGUACUUGUCUGCUAUGAUUAGCAGUUCGUCGAGGGUUUCGGGCUCGUCGCAGAGGAGCUUGUGCUUGAGGAGGGUGCCCUCUCGGCACCCGGCCGUAAAGUACUCAAUGGCCUGCACCUCGUGCACGCCCUCGCAGGAGUUUCGGAGCUCGCCCCAGAGCGUGAGAUAGUCGCGCGUCGAUUCCUCGGGGCCUUGCACGCACAAGGAGAGCUGGCGCGGCUUGGGAGGUCGCUUGUACGUGCUGGUGAAGUUGCGAAUGAAGGCUUCAGUGAAGUCGACCCAGCUGUUGAUGCUGCGGGGCUUCAGGCUGUUCAGCCAUGUCCGGGCCGUGCCCUGGAGCAUGAGGGGAACAUACUUUAUGGCGACUCGCUUGUUGCCGUUGGCGAUGUUGACGGCUGUGGAGUAGUCUAUCAGCCAGUCCUCCGGCUUCACGGAGCCGGUGUAUUUGGGCGUAUCUCGAGGGAGCGUGAACUCUUUGGGGAAGGGCUCAUUUCUGAUGCGGGGCCCAAAGCAAGGCGGACCCAGCUCGUCUUCUUCUUCUAACGCCAGGGAUCUGUGGAGUCGGUCGAUCCGGUGGCGGGCAUCGUUCUCUCCGACUCCCUCUCGGCGGCCAAGGCGAUCUCCGAGAGUCGGAUGCUCAACAGGCGGCGGAGAGACUCGCCGUUCUCUUCGGGGCGGGGGAGGCAGAUAAUCAUCUCGUCGCUCCACUGCUCUGGGGCGGCCAUCUUGGUCGCGCUCGAUGGAGAUGCGAGUCCGGCUGCGGCUCGUAGCCGGCUCCUUCUCUUUCCUCCCGCGGACUCCGCCAGUCGGCGUCCGGGAGGUCGCGCCUUGAUCUCGGCGAGGGGGUAAGUCAUCAUUCUGCUGCUGCUGCAUGUUGGCGCGGCCGCCUGCCGCGUUCUGCGCAGCAACCGCGUCGAGGAGCUGCUGGACUCGCUCCGUCAUCACACGGCGCUCUUCGCCUUCGAGGUUCCUUAGCUCUUCGGUUGCCGCUUGGGCGGCGCGGAUGUUCUCCACAGGGGUGGCGUAUACGGGGCGCUUCGCUCCGAAUAGAUCGGCUAUGGCCGCGCCGCGCUCUCGGACCACACCGAGACGGCUCGGCCCAGUAGGAGCCGGCGAGCCGCCCACAGCACGGUCCAUCUCGCGCUGAUAUGCUUCGGACAAGCGUCUCAUGCUUGCCAACUUCUUGGCGCCUUCAAUGAUCUGAAGGCGGCGCUCUUCCAGCAUCUCUGCGUCCGCGUCCUCUGGGAGGGGCGCGGACAGGUCCUGCAGGGCCGCAGGCAGCGGGUCCUGGGCGUUUUCACCGGAGUGCUCGUCGUGGCCGAUGACGAGCAUCUCCGUGACGGCGCUUCCGUCGCUCUCCUCGUACGGAAGCGGCUCGUCGUAAACCACCACGUUGGUGGGGAAGGUAUCAAGCGAUACGGCGUCGGAGUCGACCAGCAUCGGGUCGGAGGAGCCUACGGACUCCAAGUCUACGGCGGGCUCGCCGGCGACUUGAAGUUGGUCGAGGAGGCCCGCGAGAAGGUUCUCGGGGCCACCCGCGCCUGCGCUCGGCACGGGUUCGUCGGAGAGGCGCACCUCGCCGAUGAGUUCGGCGAGGCCGCUCGCUGCGCAGGCGGCUUCGGCGCCGCGCAGUGCGUCGAUGCAGACUCCAUCUGGCGAGCCGGGCUGGCUGCGCUCGCCAGGGAGGAGGGUUCCCGUCCAGAACAGAUCUCCGGACGACGGUGCACCUCGCCCCACGGUGGGCGCCAAAUGUCGGGGGUUGGGUGCGACAUAUGCCAACGGGUGGCUUAUCAUGGUGGGGGCGAGUAGAACGUCGCCGGUGCCUGGAAACGGGAUGAGGCGAAGACAUGCACGCCGGCGCAUCUUACCCAGCUUCGGGGCUCUCCGAGGAGAUAACACCCCUACUGCUGCUCUGCGGGGUCUCCGCAUGAUCACUAUGGUGCGAUAGUACAAUGGUGCUCCUCGAGCUGUGUGGAGGCAGGAAGGAGCAAGGCUAGCUCUUUCCCUUCUUCUAUAUGUCUAAACCUAUCCAGGGCCGAACCCUUUGCAUGGGUGCCCCGGGGGGUUUAUAUAGGCCUACCCCCCGGGGGUACAAUGGUAAUCCGUCUGGGCGUGGCCCCCAGUCAUCAGUCUCUCUUGCAGCCGUCCUCCCUGCCGGCUAGUCGGCGGGCCCCGCGGACAGGCAGAACGCUGUGCAGCGCUCUUGAUGACGCAGGCCCGGUCAUGGGGUCGUGGGAACAGUGCUGCCGUCUGUCAGGCGAUCACUGUCGCCACUCCCCGUCCAAUCUGGUUUAUGGCUUGUGGGGCCCUGGCCGGGAGGCGGCCGACUCUGGGGAAGCCGACUCCCGUAGGGCCGUCUUCGGACUCUCCGGCCGUCUUCCUCUAUCUCACUGACGGGGGGCCCGGCGAUCUCUGGGCCGUACGCGCCGCCGUCGUGGGCAUAGUGCCUUGUGCACUGUGGCUGAGGUCAAGGGUGGCAUGGCGACAGUGCCGCGCCUCACCGGAGAUCUCCUGGUGACGCGGCUCACUGUAGCCAUGUCUUCUUCCCGUGGGUCCGAGGGGACAGCCACGAUGGGGCUGUACCCUGCAUCGGUCUUCGUGAAAGGUCGCGGGCCGACUCUCACAGUCGGCCCCUUGAGAGGUCGCAAGCCAGGAGUCGGCUUGUUUCAGAGUCGCCAUCUGAGGACUCUGCUUCUUCGAUGGUCGCCAGCUGGGACUCGGCCUUCUCGAAGGUCGCCCACCGGGACUCGGCCUUCUCAAAGGUCGCCAGCUGGGACUCGGCUGAGGGGCGCGGCCUGCCCCGAUGUCUUGAAAGAUCUUGGGUCCUGGGUCAGCCUACCCAUGGCCCAUUACUCCGACACCAUGGCAAGGCUUGCUAUGUUACGCCCUCUGCUUCGUUGUAUCCCUUGUACGUUUUUAACCCUACGCUUCUAGGGAACUUGCCGGGGCUAACACACUUGCUGAGUGCGGGACGUCAGCAGCCUGCUGGCGGUGUUGUAUCCGGCAAGAAACCUUCUCGGGCCAGUUGCAGCGCACUUGUAUUGUUGAGCAGACUCGGAAACAAAGCAAGGACGCAACUUAACCCCGAGUUGGUUCCUCUGCGCACAGGUUUUUUUUUGUACAAAGGAUAAACGCUCGAGGGACAUAACACAAGGCUAUAGGACUAAAAAGUGCUCUGUACAAAAGCUCGGGUGACUUAGCUUUUCUGUCUUCAGCAGUCCGACGGGGUCGUACUUCUUCCCUGGUUUCCACCACCCCCUUGUAUGUUUUCUUCCUCACGCUUUCGGGGAACCCUUCGGUGCAAACACGCUCACUGAGCGCAGGGCAUCAGCAGCCCGCUGGCGGUGUUGCCUCCGGCGGGAAGAACUCGGCGGGCUGGUUGCGGUGCGCUCUUACCGUCUAGCGAACUCGAAGCGGAUCUACGGCGCAACCUAACCACGAUUCGACCCCUCUGCCCUCGGGUUCUUCAUACAAGGUGUGGACUUCUAGGAAGCACAAUCUCAAAAGUUCGAAGUUUGGCAGCUUUCUUUGCCUCAUCGGCCGGCAGAGCUCGAUGGCGCGUCCUCGACGGUAGCGCGGUACUCCGGAGAGGCGGGCUUGCCGGAGCGAGCGCCAGAGCUGUUCUCGCCGGGCUUAGCCUUUGGUUGGUCUGCCUUCGCCUUCUCGCACUUGCCGGUGGAGCUCGAUGGUGCAUCCUCGACGGCGGCGCAGCGCUCCGGGGAGGUGCGCUUGCCGGAGUCGGCACCAGAGCUAUUCUUGCCGGACUUGGCUUUCUUCUUCCCCCGGGGAGCUUCAGCGGCAAGUGGCUCGUGCUCUACUGCGGCUGCUGCUUCCCGGUAGAUCUUGUCGGCGCAGAUGAGCGCAUCCCUCUUAUCGCCUUGGACAGAGAUAACACUCAUCGGGCCGGGCAUCUUGAGCACAUUAUACGCGUAGUGAGAGGACGCCAUGAACUUGGCGAGUGUGGGUCGGCCAAGUAUCCUGUUGUAGGGCAAGGGGAUAUCAGCCACAUCGAACGUGACCCUCUCAGUCCUGAAGUUCAGUUCGCUGCCGAACGUUACUGGCAAUGUGAUCUUCCCCUUAGGCUUGCUCCUUCCCGGAUUUAUUCCUUGAAAGGCACCAGUUUCUUCGAGCUCGCUGUUGGGGAUCUGGAGCUUCUUGAGCACUGCGGAGGAAAUCAAGUUCAGGCCGGCCCCGCCGUCAACCAGCAUCUUCGUGACCUUGAGGUUGCGGAUUGUUGGUGAAACCAGCAUCGGCAAGCACCCGACCGCAGUGACACGAUCAGGGUGGUCCUCAACGUCGAAGACGAUGGGCGUGCCGGACCACUUUAGAGGCCUGCGUGCCUCGACGGAUGGCUCCGCUGCAUUCACUUCUCGCACCCAAUGUUUGAGUUGGCGGUGCGAGGUGUGCAGGGAGGCGCCGCCGUCGAGGCACAACACUUCUGUCGCCUUCUGAAACUCUUGAUCAUCAGCCUCGUCUUCCUCCAUCUCUUCAUCCUCAUCUUGAUCUUCGUCUUUGUCGCGGCCGCGGGGAGGCCUGUCUCCUUGCCGCGGCUUAGCCUUGCCGCGGAGUCCCCCCCGGGCGGGAAGCUUCUUGCCGGAUCCUCCGCCACCUCCCUGGGCUCUCUCCUUAUCGCGGCGCUCAUACUCUGCUUUUUGCAGCUCCGCCAUCUGCUCUACUUUUUUGCAGGUUUGGAGAUCAUGGCCUUUGGUGCGGUGAAUCUUGCAAUAACGCUUGCCGGAGCCAUCCUGCUUGUCGGCGGCUGCUACAGCCUCGCUAGAGUCGUCGGUCUUGGCCUUGUCGGAGCCGCCUCCGUUGCCGGAAUGCUCAACAGCUAGCACAUCCUUAGCUUUCCUCUUCCUGUUGUUCCGCCUCCGGUUCUUCCUUGCCGGGGCGGCACCCUCACUGUCAGAUCCUUCUGCUCCGGCAAUCUCUCCGGGGAUUUUCCUCCCCUCCUCAGCUCGUGCACACUUGUCGGCCAGAGCGUAAAGCUCACUGACAUCUCUGAUCUUGCACAUCGCCAUCUCCUCCCUCAUCCUGCAGUUACGCACGUUCUGAUGAAACGCGCUAAUAACCGCGGCAGGGUGGACGUCUGGGAUCUUGCGUUGCACCUGGCUGAAUCUUUGUAUAUACUUGCGUAGGGGCUCCCCCUCCUUCUGGACGAGCAAGUGGAGGUCACUUUCCUGGCCAUGAGGCUUGUGGCCACCCGUGAAGGCGCCGACAAACUGAUGGCACAGGUCCGCCCAUGAGGAGAUGGAGCCGUCCGGCAAGUGCAUGAGCCAAGAUCUGAUGUUGGGCUUGAGUACCAGCGGGAAGUAGUUGGCGAGGAUCUUCUCGUCGCGCCCUCCGGCAGCCUGCACUGCGAUGGUGUAGAUGCUGAGGAACUCCGACGGGUGUAUCCUGCCGUCAUACUUCUCGGGCACGUCUGGCUUGAAAUUCUUGGUUUUGGGCCACUGGACUUGCCGCAACUCGCGGGUGAACGCAGGGCAACCUGCCGCGUACGGCAAGUCGCCUGGUUCUCCGGGUGCGUGCGCGUCGACAGCGGGCCCAGCGCGCUGGUCAGAUUGACGUCGCGCUUCUCUCCGGCGCUCGAUGCGGGUACGAGCGUCUUCGUGUUGCCGUUCUUGGAGGACGUGGCGUUGAUCGCGGCGAGUUCGCGGGUUCGACGAUGCGGUGGAGUCGCCGUCGGGGUUGGUCCGGCGAGCCGGCGAUCUUGGCCUUCGGGGCUGGGAGUGCACAGAGGUGGCGCCCCCAGCGGUCUUGUCGGCGUCGGCUUGCGCCUGGGCGCCUUGCCGGGGCCUCGACGCGCUCGGUCGCCGGGGUUUGUCGCCGUUGGCGAAGCCGAUGAGGCUGUAAAUGGUCAUCCUCCAGUCGUCGAUCUUGUGCGGCGCCGGAGGGUAGUCUGGAAGCAGCUGGGCUCGGGUCAGCGCUUCCUCUACUGUCUUGGGUGGCGGUGGUGAUGAACGGCGCAAAGAGCGGGAGGUGCUUGGACUCCCAACUGGAUUGGGAGGUACCACACCCCGUCUGGGCGACCGUAUCUCGCUCGCGCCAGCAUGCGGGCGUGCAUGCUGACCUCGAGCGUCCCGCGACCCACCAGGUUGGCCUUGUUCCAACGCGAGCACGGUGCUAGGAGCACCGGGGCGUUGUUGACCUUGCACCUCCUGAGAGGGGUGCGGCGUCUGCUCGGUCGCCGAUGCUUGCGGGGCCUUGUUUUUGGAUCUAGUGACGACACAAGAUCCACCGGCGGCGCCCGCUCCUCCGCCGGCGUCCACUCUGCCGCCCGUUUGCUCCGGCGGUGGUGGCAGAACCGACAUAGACGGAGCGGCCACCUCCGAAGGCUUCUUCUUCGGUGGCAUGUUGACGAUGACGUUGAUGUAGCGUGCGUGGAGACCGGAUUAGAUGCUCACGACCUCGACGCCCCCCUACCUGGCGCGCCUAAGAUGUCGGGGCUUAUCUCUGGCCUCGAGCACCUAUGGGGCACUGGGGGCUCCUUCUGGUUCGGCAAGGGAGCGGGGGUCGUGCGCAGAGCAGAUCGAGGUCGGGCGCGCGCGGGGAGACGGGCAAUCUUUACCCAGCUUCGGGGCUCUCCGGAGAGAUAACACCCCUACUGCUGCCUCAAAGAACCAGCUCGUCGGGGCGUCAUUCGCCCUCACGACUACCUCCACGUGAUACUCCUUCUUGGUGCUGUCGACCCAGUGCUCGUGGUAGGAGAAGGUGGGGACUCGAGUGAACUGGCACUUCCUGAGGCUAUCCUCAAGAAGCAUGGGAAACCCAGUGGUCAGGAAGUCCUCGGGUACGGCGGCCAUCUACAAAAAGUGGAAGGGGAAGGGUCAAUAAAGGAAUGUGACCUGUGUUUGGGAUGCUAACAUAAAACAUAGGUAUAUGGGUAAUCUAGGGGAUAGUCUCGCUCUAUCUAACGUCCAUGCUAACUAAGGCUUCCUACAGUCAGGAUGGCUCUGGUACCAGCUCUGUGGGGACCCCGACUCGCAAGUCGUGAUCACCGAAUGCACGUGUACAGUGAUCCCAGAGAUCAAUGCUCACUGAACACACAGAAGCUGGAUAACAAGAGUCUUACAUCCAUACAUACCGUCUUACACAAAUAGAGACCAACAUGGUCAAGUCUUACAUCGAUAAAGCCUUAAAGGCUGAACAUCAAAUGAAACAUAGUAGCGGAAAACGUCAUCGAUAAGUAGAACCCAUGCCAUCUGCCUUAACCCUACAGGCAUUCUGACUGGGAAACGUCCUAGUUCGCAUGAUCGUCUCCAAAGAACUCUUCUUCGAACUCCGGUUCUUCCAUGCCUGGUCAAUUAAAUAACCAGUGGCAAGCCAAUGAGUACUUUGAAUGUACUCGCAAGCAACCCAUGAUUUGGUUCAAGGUACAGUAAUGCAUGACAUAGGUAAAGUUUUGCAUAAAGCUAGUUUUGAGUGCAGGACAUGUUCAACAUCCUAUAAAGCAUGCAUCAAGAGAAUUCAAGUAACCAUGAGAACUGGUCACAGAUAUCAACAUAAAUAGAAUGGGCACCAACCCAUUUAGCAUAAACAGAGUGGGCACCAACCCAUCUCAAUCGUGUCAAGUCCUUUGACUUGAUCCAAGACAACACCAUCAUCUCACACACACCGGUUUGAAAACAAGUGGACGUAGCCCAAGAGCGGUUACCCAACUGUCCAUGACCGUGGACACGGCUAUUCGAAUAGUUUUACACUCUGCAGAGGUUGCACACUUUACCCACUAGAUCCGGGGAACUUCCGUGUCAAUCCACGACCCGCGGUACCUCAAGUACCCGGGGUAAGCACCCGAUCACUACCUUUCCCUAGACGACACUAACAUGGAGUCCACUCGAUUGGCAGUAACCCCCGUGCCCAACAUCUCACAUAACAAUUUCGUGGAGCCUUGCUCCCAUAUCCAUCACAUACCACUGGCACGGGGUACCAACGGUGUGUCCGGUGCCCCAUAAAGAUGGUCAUGGCCGCCCUACCUGGCACGACCCCGUCCCAAGAGAGAGCACCAACUCUCCCCCGUCACUAGUAAUGCGGGCUCCAAGCUAGUAUCCGACUAGGUACUCAAUAAUGCCCCUUUCCCAUAUAAGGGUAGAGUGGUCGCGCAUGUAAGGUUGGAAUAACGGUCGCAACUCCGACCAAUCCGUUUUGAAAACAACACACACCUUCCUUGGCACACCACUUCGUUAUCAAGUGGUCACCCAUCUCUUCAUCUCCCUCGGGCAUAAGUGGCACCCGACGGGGUUUUCGAAAAUACUUUUGAAAUCACUUUGCCUUCUUCACCAUGCACAAACCCAUCCCGUUUGCGUAGCAUCUACAUUUGCAUCCUAUCUACUCCCACCGGCAUAACCCUCAUAAGAAGGUAGGGCCAUGCACAAUGCAAGUAUCAACGAGGAAUGUAAUCGUGGCAACCACCCACGUGGUUCACCAUCUCGUCAUGAUUCCGAUGCAUCAUCAAUAAAGAGCUAAAAAUGACAUGCAUAUAAAGGGGUAUCAUAGUCAUGGUCAAAGGGCUGCUUGCCUUGGUUGGCUUGAUCUUCAAAGUCUUCAGGCCCCGCUCCUCCUUCUUCCUCAGCUACCUCGUCAAACACGGGAUCUAACGUCGCAAGAAAACAACGGGAAAAUAAGACAAUAAUAAAAACAGAAAAAUCAAAGUGCUCACAAAAAUGUCAACUUAUUUUUGUAAAAUACUAGAAGGAAAGCUAGGAAGGGGGCAACUUUUGGUUUUGGUUCUGGAGCAGCAAAAUAGGAGUUGUGGAUUUUCAAAGGCUUAUUUAAAUGCCAAAAACCACAUUUAAAUAUUUACAGAGAAGAAAAGGUGAUUGGAUUUGAGUGAAAGUUGCACCAUUAAAUAGGUUACAAUAUUCUAGGAAUUUAGAAAUUGGAAUCAAUGUAUUUGGAUUAAUAUUCUGCCCUGUGGAAUAUUUGGAAAUAAUACAGAAAAGGAAAAAGAAUAACGGCGCUGUGCUACUGGGCCAGAGAGGCCACAGCAGCAGCAGGCCCAGGGGGAAAACCCAGCCCACGCGGCCGCCACGUCGAAGGCGUAAAGGCUGAAUACGCCUUCAGCCGACGGCGGGUCGGUGCGCGCGCGCGCGCACGUUUUAAACCUGACGGGUGGAGCCCACCCGUCAGGGCGUGAGGCUGACUGGCCGGCCCCACGGCGGCCGUCGUCUACCUCCGGCCAGAGGCGACGGCGAGCUCGCCGGCGGCGAUACAGGGCACGGGAAGGGGCGCGGAGGCUACCGUUGGACUCAGGAGCGAGUCGCGGUUCUGGUGGUGGUGGAGACGGUCGCCGGGGUGGCCUGCUUCGCCGGCGACGAGGUCCCGCGGCGGAGGUGCUUCGGGCGCCGGUGGCUCCGGCCGUUUCCGGCUGCAAAACGAGGGGGAAAGAGAGGGGAAAGCAUCAGUGAGGCGAGGGGAGUCCAGUUCGAGAGAGAAUAGGGGCGGAGGAGGCCUGUACCCGCAGAUCGACGGUGACCCGAGGCGGCGGAGCUCGAGCUCGAUCUCGAGCUCGGGCGGUUCUGGAGAGAAGUGGGUGGUUCCGGGGGUGGAUUGGGUGUGUGGAGGAGUGACAGGGAGGAAGAGAGAGGCUCGGGAGCGCCUUAAAUAGGCUGGCCGCGGUUCACCGUGGGCGUGGCCUACGGGCGCCCGCGGGAUCAGCUCUGGAGGCCGUGGGAGAGGAGUAGGAGCUGUCCACGGCGCUUGUGGGGAUGGAGUAGGGCGCCAGGGAGAAGGAGAGAGAGCGGGGGAGGGUUCUGGCGCCCGCGCGUGUGAGGCCGGCCAUUGGCCGAGCCGGGCGGCGUCGGGCACGCGCUGCAGGAGGGGAGAGAGAGGGGGAGACAACGGGGACUGCACGGCGGCGUGUCGCAGACGUCGAGGCACAUCAUCUGGCGCGAUGGGAAGGCACGAGGCGGUCGGGAGGCGCGGUGUCAACGGUCGGCGCUCUGGCAGGCGCUCCAGAGCGCGACUUUGGCCGGCAUCCGCGGUUUUUCCGCGGCGCGCGCGCGUCCUUUUCUGUCUGGAAGCUACAGUGGCAGGGGACAAGGCCAGGGAAGGGCCUGGGAUGCUCUGGGGUGCAGAAGGGAGAGAGAGUGGCUGUGAGAGGGGGAAGAAACUGUUGUCCAGAGAGGACAAACGUGAUUCCCCCCUUCCUCCACAUUGCUUCCUCGGGUAGAAAAGUGUCUAAGUGACAGAGGGGGGUGAGGAGGGGUUGUGGCAAAAAGGUGAACUCAAGGAGAUUAGUGAAAGUGGCAAAAAUAGGCUUUAUAGUAUUUUGCCAGAAGGUGUUUGAUGGAGUUUUGGUUAAGCUAAUGAUUCCCACUGGCCAAGAUACUACAAGGGGUGAAAUGUCACAUAUAUUUAGGGCCUUCCACCCAUUUUGAGCUUAAUAGGACAAAGUUGCCAAUGCAACUCUUGCAAACCCUAGAAAUGGGCAGAAAUGGAUUUGUGUAGAUCCAGUGGAGUAGAUCAUUUCUCCUUGAUGCACCACUUGGUGUGGUGGCCUCAUUUGAUCACAUGAUCAGGCUCACCAAAGUUGGGGUCUUGGAGAAAAAGUUGGUAGUGCAAAGUGAUUCAAACUUGAUUCUGGUCAGAGAGGGUUUUGAGGCACUUUGACCAAGAUUUCCUCUUCUCCAACCUGUGCCAUUUGGUCCAGAUGCAUCAUUAGACCAAUGAAGCAUGUCCACCAAGUUUGAGCACAUUUGGACAUACUUGGCAAUGUAAAGUUGAUCAAACUUUAGAAUGGACAGAAAUAGUUUUGAGGGGUUUUGAUGGUGUUAUCUUGUUCUCCAAGUCAUGAGACUUGGCAAGAUCAUCUAAUAUGUCAUAUGUGACAUGAUAGAAUUUUCCUGGAAUUUUUGGAGGAUAAUUCCUUUGUAAAUAUUUCAAAAGCUUGAAAUAUCCAGAAAGGGUUUUAGAGGGAUUUGACCAAUAUUUGGAACAUGACCAGGUGCCGAAACUCUUAUAUAUGGACAAUAUAUGUCCUAUGAGUUUCCCUAAAUUUUGUCAAAUAUUUUUGAAACAGUAAAGUAAUUUUUUCCUAUUAAAGACCAUUUCUGGCCUUAAGGAAAAGCCUUUAAAUAAAAUAGAACAGUAAUUUUUAAAAUUAUAUUUUUGUGGUUCCUGGGCAUCCUAUAUCUAAUAGGAGUCAAAUAUAUUUUUGGAAAGAUUUUUACUGCCCUUAAUCAAGUACUUGCAGUGCAAACCUCAAUUCAGGGGUUUUUGGAAAACUAAUUUUUGAAAAUACUUUCUGGCCAAAUUAUUUUUGUAAGAAAAUUCUAUAUAGCACUAUUCACAUGGCAUGGUCAUUGGUCAGGAGCUUGGGGUAAGGAGAUGGAAUAAAGAGGGUAGAGUAGUUGACUUCAAGAAGCACUUGAAAAGAAACACAAGAGAGAAAACCAACUCCAAAUAAAAGCCAAAUAAUGCAAAAAGUUUUUGUUGGUCCAAAUUUUCAUGCUUUAUAAAUGAAAAUGAGAUGUUACAAAAUGCAGGGUGUGACAGACCUACCCCCCUUACAAGAAUCUCGUCCCCGAGAUUCCUAAACUAGGCUUUAAAGAGAUACGGAAAUUCGGAUCUAAGGUAGUCUUCACGCUCCCAAGUUGCUUCUGCUUCGGUGUGAUUGCUCCAUUGGACUUUGAAGUACUUGAUGGUGCGGCUUCGAGUGCGUCGUUCAGCCUCAUCCAGAAUGCAGAUGGGCCUCUCACGAUAAGUCAAAUCAGGUUGAAGAUCAAUGGCUUGGUGAUUGACGUGUUUGUAGAGGUCGGGCUUGUCUGGAACUUGGAGACACUUCCGGAGUUGUGACACGUGGAACACGUUGUGCACAUCAGAAAGUUCAGGUGGGAGUUCCAACUGGUAAGCCACUUCUCCUCGUCGCUCAGUGAUCUUGAAGGGGCCCAUGUAUCUCGGAGCGAGCUUUCCUUUGACAUGAAAGCGCUGGGCUCCUUUGAGAGGGGUGACCCGGAGAUAGACAUGGUCUCCAACUCGGAAGUUUAUGUCUCUGCGACGUGAGUCCGCAUAGCUCUUCUGCCUUGACUUGGCAGACUUCAGACGCUCUCGGACAAGCUGGACUUGCUCUUCUGCUUCGCGAAGGAUAUCAGGCCCAAAGACAAGUCCUUCUCCGGUCUCCGACCAGUUGAGAGGUGUAUGGCACUUCCGCCCGUAUAACACUUCAAAUGGUGCCAUCUGAAGGCUGGCCUGAUAACUGUUGUUGUAAGAGAACUCGGCGAAAGGGAGGCAAUCUUCCCACUUAGCUCCAUAAGCUAAGACACAGGCUCGGAGCAUGUCUUCGAGUAUUUGAUUCACUCGCUCGGUCUGACCUCCGGUCUGUGGGUGGAAAGCAGUGCUGAAGGACAACUUGGUCCCCAUGGCCUCCUGGAAUUUCUUCCAAAACCUUGAGGUGAACUGGGUUCCUCGAUCUGACACAAUCUCCUUGGGAACACCAUGAAGGCUCACAAUCCGGUUGAUGUAGAGACUGGCUAACUGGUUCCCCUUGUAGGUUGUCUUGACAGGAAUGAAGUGGGCCACCUUGGUCAAAUGGUCAACUAUGACCCAGAUGGAGUCAUGUCCCUUGUUUGACCUAGGUAGUCCAGUGAUGAAAUCCAUUCCGAUCUUAUCCCAUUUCCACUCGGGAACCUUGAGUGGUUGGAGUAAUCCAGCAGGUCGCUGAUGUUCAGCUUUGACCCUCUGGCAUACGUCACACUUGGCAACAUAGGUGGCAAUCUCCCUUUUCAUCCCGUGCCACCAAAAUCUUUCCUUCAGGUCUUGAUACAUCUUGGUGCCUCCAGGGUGGAUGGAAUAUGGGCUGUCAUGAGCUUCUUGCAAGAUCAGGUUCUUGAGCUCAACCUUGUUGGGCACGCAGAUGCGAUUCCCAAACCACACAAUUCCUUCCUCAUCCUCCGAGAAUCCUGAGGCUUUGCCUGCCUUGAUCUUCCUCUUGAUGCCUUCAAUACUCUCAUGCCCCUUCUGAGCUUUCUUGAUAUCAUCCAUCAAGGUAGGCUUAACUUCGAGGUUGGCCAAGAAUCCUGGUGCAACCAGUUCCAACCCGAAGCUUUCGAGUUCUCCAUACAAGACGGGUAGCUUGUGUUUUAGCAUAGCAUUCAAGGAGCAAGCCUUCCUGCUCAACGCGUCCGCUACCACAUUAGCCUUUCCAGGGUGGUAUUGAACACUGAGGUCAUAAUCCUUUAUCAACUCCAGCCAUCUUCUUUGCCUCAUGUUCAAUUCCCUUUGAGUGAAAAUAUACUUCAGACUUUUGUGAUCCGUGUAUAUCUCACAUCGCUUCCCCAAGAGAUAAUGUCGCCAAGUCUUCAGGGCAUGAACCACUGCUGCUAGCUCAAGGUCAUGAGUAGCAUAGUUCUCUUCGUGCGGUCGUAGUUGCCUUGAAAGGUAGGCCACGACUCUGCCUUCUUGCAUCAGAACACCUCCCAGUCCGAUUCUUGACGCAUCACAAUAUAUCACAAACUCCUUGUGUAUAUCUGGUGUGGCCAGAACUGGAGCGGUGGUUAGCCUCUUCUUCAGCUCCUGGAAGCUCUCUUCGCACUUCGGCGUCCAUUCAAACUUCUUGUCCUUCUUCAAGAGCUGAGUCAUGGGUCGGGCAAUGCUCGAAAACCCUUCAACGAACUUGCGGUAAUAUCCCGCGAGUCCGAGGAAGCUUCUGACUUCCUUCACAUUGCUCGGGGAUUGCCAUUCAGUCACGGCUUCAAUCUUAGCAGGGUCGACUGACAAUCCCUCUUCAGUUAGAACAUGACCCAGAAAUCCAACUUCACGCAGCCAGAAUUCACACUUGCUGAACUUGGCAUACAGUUGGUGCUCUCGAAGCUUGUCUAGGACCAUCCUCAAGUGUUGCUCGUGCUCUUCUACCGACUUCGAGAAGACAAGGAUGUCAUCAAUGAAGACAACGACAAACUUGUCCAAAUAUUCCAUGAAGACCUUAUUCAUGAGAUACAUGAAGUAAGCUGGGGCAUUGGUCAAUCCAAAGGACAUGACCGUGCAUUCAUACAAGCCAUAUCUGGUUACGAAUGCCGUCUUCGGAAUAUCUUGGGGUCUGAUCUUCAGUUGGUAGUACCCAGAUCUGAGGUCGAUCUUGGAGAACACCUUGGCCCCAUUGAGUUGAUCAAACAGAUCUUCAAUCUUGGGAAGUGGGUACUUGUUCUUGAUUGUAACCUCAUUAAGGGAGUGGUAGUCAAUGCAUAAGCGGAUGGUACCGUCCUUCUUUGCCACAAACAGAACAGGUGAUCCCCAAGGGGAGGCACUAGGGCGGAUAAAUCCCUUCCUCAACUGCUCUUCCAGCUGCUUCUUCAAUUCUGCUAACUCCUCCGAUCCCAUCCUAUAAGGCUUCUUAUAGAUGGGUCCUGCUCCGGGUAUGAGCUCGAUGAUGAACUCAAUGUCUCGGUCAGGAGGCAUUCCUGGUAGCUCAUCAGGAAAAACAUCGGGAUACUCGCAUACUACCGGCACUUGAUCCAAUCCAACUUCAGUCAGACAGUUGACUUGGUUGGCUUGAGCAGAAGAGGGGUUGGAGGCAAAUUUGACUUCGACUCCUCGGUCAUUGGUCAUAGUGACCGUCCGGUUGGCGCAAUCAAUCAAGCCUUCGUGCUUGCUGAGCCAAUUCAUUCCCAAGAUCACAUCCAAGAAUUGUGAUUUUAGGAUGAUAAGGUCUGCUAGGAAGUCUACCCCGUUAAUGGUAAUCCCGACUCCUUUACAUCCUAUCUUGGCUCUCAUCUCUGCCCCGGGGGUUUGUACAACCAUAGGGUUAUUCAGGGGUGUAGGGGUCAUGCCACUUUUUAAUGCAAAACUUUGGGUGACAAAAGAAUGCGUGGCUCCAGAAUCAAACAAAACAGUUGCGGGUGCUGAAUUGACAAGGAACGUACCCAGCACGACGUCCGGGUCUUCCUGGGCUUCUUCCGCGGUGACAUGAUUCACACGACCCCUGCCAUUGUUGGGCAGGUUGCGGGGAGCUUGGUUCCUCGGUGGCAUUCCACGGCCUUGUCCUGGGUUCUGCACAUUGGGGCGCGGGGCGUCGGGCUUCUUGUUGGGGCAAUUCUUGGAGUAGUGCCCCGGCUGUCCACAUCCGAAACAAGUGACUUGGUUGGGGACGACGCCCUUGCCAGCAUUGUUAUUGGGGUUGUUGUAAGCUGGCCUGGGGUUGGCAUACUGCUGAGGUGGAUAGUUGGUGCGGGGUGCAGGAGCUCUUGGUUGCUGAUAGGUUGGCUUGACCGGGGCUGGCUGCCACGGACGAGGCUUCUGGUUGCUGGAGCUACCCUUGCUGAUCAUCUUGCGCUUACGAGUGUCAUCCAAGGCACGCCGCUUGUCCUCAAGCAUGAGUGCCUUGUUCACCAGAUCAGGAAAGGUUGGGCAGUCUCGACGAAAGUGGGUGGUGCAUGCUUCUUGAAUUCCACCAGUGUGGAACGUCCAUGGCCGUGCCCCGCCGGCUGGCGGUUGACAGCCUGAGCAAUCAUCUGGAGGGCUGCAGUGUUGGCUUGGCGCUCCUCUCGAAAGGCUUGGAGAAGCUGAGCCAUAUCCAUGCUUGGAGGAGGUGGUGGUGGUGGAGUCUGUCCUUGGGCUUGGUCCUGGCUGGCUCCGGCCUCAGCAGAACCUCCGGCUUCUUGCGGCUGGGUAGAGGUACCAGUACGUGUUACAACAGGCAUCCUGUUGGAGCGGUCAAGGUCUCAUGAUUGGGAACAACAAUGAGGGAAAGCAGUAGAGAUGGAAUGCCUAGUAAGGGGGUGGUGUGACACAAUUUAAGUAAAACAAAGGCCAGAAGGGCCAAACUCAUGCAUUAAACCAAAUGGGGAAUGUAGUCGUUUACAAGUUCCCGAAGGGAAAGUACGACUUCAUCAAAGCAAGUUGAAAGCAAACACAACAUAACAUGGUUUCAUAAGAACCAUUACAAGGACUCGACUUCGCAAAAGGGGUACACGACCUAUCCUACCAUAGGCUACGAGCUAGCCUAUCCUAGUCCUGAACGGAGUCUAAGUGGUGGAAUGCUCGGUCGGGUAUUCUGGCUCCUCUGGGUCUUCCUCCUCGUCUUCAUCUGUCUUGGUCUCCUCAUCGCUUGAGGAAGCGGGGGAGUGAAGGAGCUGAACACGGCGCUGCUUUGCUGGUGGCGUCUUGAAGAGGUUGCGGUACUCCUUUGCCGUCAUACGGCGUGGCUGAGGUGCUCCCUCGGCAGGUGCGACCUGUGGGGGUCGUCCGCCUCGAUAAGCUACUGCGGGCUGUCCAGGGGGUGCUCCAUCCUUCUUGAUCCUGUCCGCCUUCAUCUGAACUAUGCGGAGGAGCUCCUUGGUCUCGCGGAGUUCCUUCCGAAGCUCCGUCGACUCCGAGGCCAGGUGCUGUGCCAGACUGUCGGCACACAAGCUGAAGUAGGUCUGGAAGCGGAGAGAAAGUCCCUUGUCCAAGGGUGGUGCUGGUGCGCUGCUCUCGUCAUCACCUUCCUUACGAUAAGGCAGGUAACGAGUGGCUGGCUCUCUCGCCAUCUCUGGCAGGAGAUCCCGGAGGCGGGUCAGCGCCUUGAGGGCAGCAGUCUCCACGGCGAGAAGCAGCGUCGCCAUCUGGGGUCCCUCAAAGAACCAGCUCGUCGGGGCGUCAUUCGCCCUCACGACUACCUCCACGUGAUACUCCUUCUUGGUGCUGUCGACCCAGUGCUCGUGGUAGGAGAAGGUGGGGACUCGAGUGAACUGGCACUUCCUGAGGCUAUCCUCAAGAAGCAUGGGAAACCCAGUGGUCAGGAAGUCCUCGGGUACGGCGGCCAUCUACAAAAAGUGGAAGGGGAAGGGUCAAUAAAGGAAUGUGACCUGUGUUUGGGAUGCUAACAUAAAACAUAGGUAUAUGGGUAAUCUAGGGGAUAGUCUCGCUCUAUCUAACGUCCAUGCUAACUAAGGCUUCCUACAGUCAGGAUGGCUCUGGUACCAGCUCUGUGGGGACCCCGACUCGCAAGUCGUGAUCACCGAAUGCACGUGUACAGUGAUCCCAGAGAUCAAUGCUCACUGAACACACAGAAGCUGGAUAACAAGAGUCUUACAUCCAUACGUACCGUCUUACACAAAUAGAGACCAACAUGGUCAAGUCUUACAUCGAUAAAGCCUUAAAGGCUGAACAUCAAAUGAAACAUAGCAGCGGAAAACGUCAUCGAUAAGUAGAACCCAUGCCAUCUGCCUUAACCCUACAGGCAUUCUGACUGGGAAACGUCCUAGUUCGCAUGAUCGUCUCCAAAGAACUCUUCUUCGAACUCCGGUUCUUCCAUGCCUGGUCAAUUAAAUAACCAGUGGCAAGCCAAUGAGUACUUUGAAUGUACUCGCAAGCAACCCAUGAUUUGGUUCAAGGUACAGUAAUGCAUGACAUAGGUAAAGUUUUGCAUAAAGCUAGUUUUGAGUGCAGGACAUGUUCAACAUCCUAUAAAGCAUGCAUCAAGAGAAUUCAAGUAACCAUGAGAACUGGUCACAGAUAUCAACAUAAAUAGAAUGGGCACCAACCCAUUUAGCAUAAACAGAGUGGGCACCAACCCAUCUCAAUCGUGUCAAGUCCUUUGACUUGAUCCAAGACAACACCAUCAUCUCACACACACCGGUUUGAAAACAAGUGGACGUAGCCCAAGAGCGGUUACCCAACUGUCCAUGACCGUGGACACGGCUAUUCGAAUAGUUUUACACUCUGCAGAGGUUGCACACUUUACCCACUAGAUCCGGGGAACUUCCGUGUCAAUCCACGACCCGCGGUACCUCAAGUACCCGGGGUAAGCACCCGAUCACUACCUUUCCCUAGACGACACUAACAUGGAGUCCACUCGAUUGGCAGUAACCCCCGUGCCCAACAUCUCACAUAACAAUUUCGUGGAGCCUUGCUCCCAUAUCCAUCACAUACCACUGGCACGGGGUACCAACGGUGUGUCCGGUGCCCCAUAAAGAUGGUCAUGGCCGCCCUACCUGGCACGACCCCGUCCCAAGAGAGAGCACCAACUCUCCCCCGUCACUAGUAAUGCGGGCUCCAAGCUAGUAUCCGACUAGGUACUCAAUAAUGCCCCUUUCCCAUAUAAGGGUAGAGUGGUCGCGCAUGUAAGGUUGGAAUAACGGUCGCAACUCCGACCAAUCCGUUUUGAAAACAACACACACCUUCCUUGGCACACCACUUCGUCAUCAAGUGGUCACCCAUCUCUUCAUCUCCCUCGGGCAUAAGUGGCACCCGACGGGGUUUUCGAAAAUACUUUUGAAAUCACUUUGCCUUCUUCACCAUGCACAAACCCAUCCCGUUUGCGUAGCAUCUACAUUUGCAUCCUAUCUACUCCCACCGGCAUAACCCUCAUAAGAAGGUAGGGCCAUGCACAAUGCAAGUAUCAACGAGGAAUGUAAUCGUGGCAACCACCCACGUGGUUCACCAUCUCGUCAUGAUUCCGAUGCAUCAUCAAUAAAGAGCUAAAAAUGACAUGCAUAUAAAGGGGUAUCAUAGUCAUGGUCAAAGGGUGCUUGCCUUGGUUGGCUUGAUCUUCAAAGUCUUCAGGCCCUGCUCCUCCUUCUUCCUCAGCUACCUCGUCAAACACGGGAUCUAACGUCGCAAGAAAACAACGGGAAAAUAAGACAAUAAUAAAAACAGAAAAAUCAAAGUGCUCACAAAAAUGUCAACUUAUUUUUGUAAAAUACUAGAAGGAAAUCUAGGAAGGGGGCAACUUUUGGUUUUGGUUCUGGAGCAGCAAAAUAGGAGUUGUGGAUUUUCAAAGGCUUAUUUAAAUGCCAAAAACCACAUUUAAAUAUUUACAGAGAAGAAAAGGUGAUUGGAUUUGAGUGAAAGUUGCACCAUUAAAUACGUUACAAUAUUCUAGGAAUUUAGAAAUUGGAAUCAAUGUAUUUGGAUUAAUAUUCUGCCCUGUGGAAUAUUUGGAAAUAAUACAGAAAAGGAAAAAGAAUAACGGCGCUGUGCUACUGGGCCAGAGAGGCCACAGCAGCAGCAGGCCCAGGGGGAAAACCCAGCCCACGCGGCCGCCACGUCGAAGGCGUAAAGGCUGAAUACGCCUUCAGCCGACGGCGGGUCGGUGCGCGCGCGCGCGCACGUUUUAAACCUGACGGGUGGAGCCCACCCGUCAGGGCGUGAGGCUGACUGGCCGGCCCCACGGCG